AUUUCUUCGACCUUUUGAUGCAUAAAAGUAGUUUGGACUUCACAGGCCUGUUGAGUCCACGUUGUUCCUAUUGCAGUUACUAAGGAUCUCUGCUGAGCAAGUUGAAAGUUACAGUUACAAAAAUUGGGACAACUUCCAGAGUGACACCCAAAGCAGUAAGUUUGGUGUAAAAGGAGACUGUGUGCUGCGUGAAGCAUUGAAACAUUUCCACCCUGUCACCGGAUUUGCUCCAGACAUCCUUCAUGACCUCUUGGAAGAUUUUGGAUCUGAAUGACACGAUCACACUUGCUGCGUACUUCAUUGAUGGUCGGUUAAUGCUGUCUCCCAGGAGAU